UGGUUAAGUCCGCAACGAGCGCAACCCUUGUCUUUAAUUGCCAUCAUUUAGUUGGGCACUUUAAAGAGACUGCCGGUGUUAAGCCGGAGGAAGGUGGGGAUGACGUCAAGUCCUCAUGGCCUUUAUGCCCAGGGCUACACACGUGCUACAAUGGGCGGUACAAGGAGAAGCAACCUCGCGAGGGUGAGCAAAUCUCAAAAAGCCGUUCUCAGUUCGGAUUGAAGUCUGCAACUCGACUUCAUGAAGUCGGAAUCGCUAGUAAUCGCGGAUCAGCAUGCCGCGGUGAAUACGUUCUCGGGGUUU
rnacentral:rRNA from 1 species